CUUAGAGAGCUUGCUUUUUAAGCUUAGUGGCGAACGGGUGAGUAACGCGUGAGUAACCUGCCCUAGAGUGGGGGACAACAGUUGGAAACGACUGCUAAUACCGCAUAAGCCCACGGUACCGCAUGGUACUGAGGGAAAAGGAUUUAUUCGCUUUAGGAUGGACUCGCGUCCAAUUAGCUAGUUGGUGAGGUAACGGCCCACCAAGGCGACGAUUGGUAGCCGGACUGAGAGGUUGAACGGCCACAUUGGGACUGAGACACGGCCCAGACUCCUACGGGAGGCAGCAGUGGGGGAUAUUGCACAAUGGGGGAAACCCUGAUGCAGCGACGCCGCGUGGAGGAAGAAGGUUUUCGAAUUGUAAACUCCUGUCGUUAGGGACGAUAAUGACGGUACCUAACAAGAAAGCACCGGCUAACUACGUGCCAGCAGCCGCGGUAAAACGUAGGGUGCAAGCGUUGUCCGGAAUUACUGGGUGUAAAGGGAGCGCAGGCGGGAAGACAAGUUGGAAGUGAAAACCAUGGGCUCAACCCAUGAAUUGCUUUCAAAACUGUUUUUCUUGAGUAGUGCAGAGGUAGAUGGAAUUCCCGGUGUAGCGGUGGAAUGCGUAGAUAUCGGGAGGAACACCAGUGGCGAA
rnacentral:rRNA from 1 species